rnacentral:lncRNA from 1 species
AACCGAUACCGAGAGCAAUAGGGUUAAUCAAAAAUAGAUCCGAAGUGCUCCCCGCAAAAUGCAUAGCAGCGAAAUUUUCCGCUAAAUUAGCAUUAGCUAGGUCGCCUACUCCGUACUGGAACGCUUCACUUGCAGUGCCAUUCAUUGCUAAGUCCUUGUGCUGUUUAACCAGAAAAUCAAUAUCAUCGCUAUUAUGAUGU